rnacentral:rRNA from 1 species
CCUACGGGGGCAGCAGUGGGGAAUAUUGGACAAUGGGCGAAAGCCUGAUCCAGCCAUGCCGCGUGUGUGAAGAAGGCCUUCGGGUUGUAAAGCACUUUCAGUGGGGAAGAAAGCCUUGGGGCUAAUACCCUCGAGGAAGGACAUCACCCACAGAAGAAGCACCGGCUAACUCCGUGCCAGCAGCCGCGAUAAUACGGAGGGUGCGAGCGUUAAUCGGAAUUACUGGGCGUAAAGCGCGCGUAGGCGGUCUGAUAAGCCGGUUGUGAAAGCCCCGGGCUCAACCUGGGAACGGCAUCCGGAACUGUCAGGCUAGAGUGCAGGAGAGGAAGGUAGAAUUCCCGGUGUAGCGGUGAAAUGCGUAGAGAUCGGGAGGAAUACCAGUGGCGAAGGCGGCCUUCUGGACUGACACUGACGCUGAGGUGCGAAAGCGUGGGUAGCAAACAGGAUUAGAUACCCCAGUAGUC